CAAAAAGGAACCAGGUCAUCACAAAAGUGGCAGCGAACAGGGUUAUAUUCCCUUAGUGAUUCUUCAAUAGACCUGGCUUAACUUCUAACAUGGUAAGCAACAAUAACAGUUUUCCAAAAGAUAAAAACACAAAGAAUGAGAGAAGAAUAGUUUCUUCUAAUUUCCCCUAUCUUAACCUUUUUCCCAUUAAAAAAAAAAGUGCAGCUUGCCACCAGUACUCACUUAAUUUUACAUAAACAUGCUUUUCGAGGCUGAAGCAAAUCUGAUUGAUUUUCAAUGUGAAAGUAAAACAUAAAAAUUGUUCUUGGAGUUAUUUCUAAACAGAACUAACAUCAGAAUCAUCUGAAUCAUCAGAAUUGUCUAUUUCGGAAAAAUUGGAUUCAUCAAAUGAAUCUCUGGCCAACAACUGUUGGAGACCAAUGUUAACACCAUGUGUAGGAAUGCUGUGUUUUCCAGGAUUUGACAUUUUCAGCGAUCAAGAAUUACUAUAUUUUGUAAAUAAAAAUACCACUACUAAAAGCAGAAUGCUCUAAAUAGAAUGUUGUCUUUUGUUUCCAAAGUUGAUAUACUAGAGUGAUAUGAAAAUAAUAAUAAAAGUAAUAUACUG
rnacentral:lncRNA from 1 species